rnacentral:tRNA from 1 species
AGCCCCGAGGUGUUGAACACAUUAGAUUGCAAAUCUUAAGUAGCAGGUUUGCCCCUGCCGGGGCUU